CAAGCACAUGGGAAAUUGCAUAAAACUUAGGAGAUAAACAGAAAAUAUGGACAAAAGUUUUUCUUUGAGAGUAAGACUAGCAGGAAAUCUCUACGUUUUAGAGCAGCUGCAGAUUCUGAGCAAACGAGUGAACAAAUUUCUGACAACUAAAGAACCUCCACAUGAUGCAAAACUUAGCAGCAGAACUUUGAGCACUAUCUUCAAGAUAGCUUAGAACACAAAAGUAACAUCAUACUUAAAUGACGAAA